rnacentral:rRNA from 1 species
CUUGUUGGUAGGGUAAUGGCCUACCAAGGCGAUAAUGGAUAGCUGGUCUGAGAGGACGAUCAGCCACAUUGGGACUGAGAUACGGCCCAGACUCCUACGGGAGGCAGCAGUGGGGAAUAUUGGACAAUGGACGAAAGUCCGAUCCAGCGACACCGCGUGGAGGAUGAAGGCUUUCGGGUUGUAAACUCCUUUUCUGGGGGAAGAAUAAGGUUGGGAGGAAAUGCCCAUCCGAUGACGGUACCCCAGGAAUAAGCAUCGGCAAACUUCGUGCCAGCAGCCGCGGUAAGACGGGGGAUGCAAGCGUUAUCCGGAAUUACUGGGCGUAGAGGGCGUCUAGGCGGUUGGAUAAGUCAUUUGUGAAAUCCCAGGGCUUAACCCUGGAAGGUCUUGUGAUACUGUCCGGCUUGGGUGUAGGAGAGGAGAGCGGAACUCACAGAGUAGCGGUGGAAUGCGUAGAUACUGUGAGGUACCCCGAUGGCGAAGGCAGCUCUCUGGCCUAUUACCGACGCUGAAGCGCGAAAGCGUGGGGAGCAAAGGGGAUUAGAUACCCCCGUAGUCCACGCCGCAAACGAUGUUCACUUGGUGUCGGGAGCCUAUAUAUCUCGGUGCCGGAGCUAACGCGUUAAGUGAACCGCCUGAGGAGUACGGCCGCAAAGCUAAAACUCAAGAGAAUUGACGGGUCCCCGCACAAGCGGUGGAGCACGUGGUUUAAUUCGAUAAGCGAAGAACCUCACCUGGGCUUGACAUACUAGUGGUAAGAACCGGAAACGGUGAUGACCUUUCCUUCGGGUUAGGAGCUAGUACAGGUGAUGCAUGGCUGUCGUCAGCUCGUGUCGUGGGAUGUAGGGUUAAGUCCCGAAACGAGCGCAACCCUUGUCACUAGUUGCCAGCGGAUAAUGCCGGGGACUCUAGUGAGACUGCUGGUGAAUAGCCGGAGGAAGGCGGGGAUGACGUCAAGUCAUCAUGUCCCUUAUGCCCAGGGCGACACACAUGCUACAAUGGGAAGUACAAAGGGUUGCAAUACGGUAACGUGGAGCCAAUCUCAAAAAACUUCCCCCAGUUCGGAUUGUGGUCUGCAACUCGACCACAUGAAGCCGGAAUCGCUAGUAAUCGUGGGUCAGCCAUACCACGGUGAAUAUGUACUCGGGGAUUGUACACACCGCCCGUCACACCAACCGAGUGGGGGGUACCUGAAGUCGCUCUUUUGAGGGCGCCUAAGGUAACCUUCGCAAGA